rnacentral:rRNA from 1 species
GACGAACGCUGGCGGCGUGCUUAACACAUGCAAAUCGAACGGAAAGGCCUCUUUCGGGGGGUACUCGAGUGGCGAACGGGUGAGUAACACGUGAGUAACCUGCCCUUGACUUUGGGAUAACUUCAGGAAACUGGGGCUAAUACCGGAUAGGAGCUCCUGCUGCAUGGUGGGGGUUGGAAAGUUUCGGCGGUUGGGGAUGGACUCGCGGCUUAUCAGCUUGUUGGUGGGGUAGUGGCUUACCAAGGCUUUGACGGGUAGCCGGCCUGAGAGGGUGACCGGCCACAUUGGGACUGAGAUACGGCCCAGACUCCUACGGGAGGCAGCAGUGGGGAAUAUUGCACAAUGGGUGGAAGCCUGAUGCAGCAACGCCGUGUGCGGGAUGACGGCCUUCGGGUUGUAAACCGCUUUCGCUCAUGACGAAGCUUUGUGUGACGGUAGUGGGUAAAGAAGCACCGGCUAACUACGUG